rnacentral:lncRNA from 1 species
GUGGCGGCUCAGUCCAAUUCAGUAGCUUGUGAUUUUCAGGAAUCUAAUUUUCUGUCAAGUUCUGUGGUCCCUCGCCCCGCUAGAAAAGGCGCUUGAGAUUUUGAAACUCUAUUUUUUUUGUGGUCAAAGUCGGUAAUUGCCUGAAUUUCAUAAUGUGUGGAGUUACUAUUUUGUGUUAUGUGUCAGUUGGCAUUGUAUGAGUUUUCGGUAGCCCUUUUUCCCGUGAUACGAGAUAUUUUGUUUGAAGAUGUUGUUCUGGAAACCGUUUGCUCCUACAGAUACCCCUCGGUGUCGAUUUGUAAUUAUUUUGUGGCCUCUCCAACAUUCGUCAAGGCGGUGUGCGAAGACUGAGAAUUUUCACUUUGCAUCAGAGCUGUUCCUGAAUUUACGGAUCAUCGCUUCAUCACGGUAAAAUCUCUCCAACUUCUUACUGCUCUCAGAAUUAAUUGCGAAUGAGUCGACCAUUUGUCUAUUCUCUAAAUUUUUCAAAGUGAGCUGGCACAGUAUUCUUCCUCACCACCGAUACCAGCAGUCGCCAUUUGAGCGGAUUUUAGUCAAAUAUCAGUCUAACUUCACUCCGCAUUGCCUAUAAUUGGACGUAUUUCUGCCAAACGGAACUAAGUGCAUUAUGACGUGAGCCCUGUUACGCACAUAUUCUUAUGGGUCUCAAGGCUCAUGUCUCAAUGCACAUAGUUCUAUUUGGCAGAAAUACGUCCAAUUGUAUCUCUCAGUUCGAAAACUACCAAGCUCGGCACGGUGCUCCUGAAGGGGGUUUAAAUCGAAGUUGCGGUCAUGAACGAAAAAUUUGAGCUGAAGUGUCAAGAGGAGGUCUCCCAGAUACGAGCUCCUAGAGAAAUAAUCGCGAUUUUAUGGGGUUUUUAGGCUUUUUUGGGGAAAAAAGGCUCAUGUAGGGCAAUGAAAUUCUCCCCUGCCCCAUUUCUUUUUGGAUUCAUCUGAAUUUUUUGUACAUUAUUCACCGGUAUGAGGCACGACUUUCCUGAAAUUUUCAUGACCGAGAAAAUUCUUUUGCUCCCGUUGCAACGUUGCAAAGUUUCACGCUUCAUAAUUAUGGAUUUUGCGAAAAAAUUGUGACAUUGGCCCCUCUGCUUCUGGGAUUGGUCUGAAUGUUUAGUGUGUUUUUCUCCGAUAUGAGAUAUGUAAAUAUUGAAAUUUGCAUGACUGGGAAAUUAUUUUACCUCUCGUUGCAACGAUGCCAAGUUUUAAACUUAAAAAUUUAGGGUUUGGAGGUAGCACGAUGGAAUGGACCCAUUUCUCGGUGAAUUGAUCUGCAUUUUUAGUAUUUAAUUCUCCCGUUUGAAGCACAACUUUCCUAUAAUUAUCAUGACCGAGAAAAUUGUUUUGCUUCGGUUACGACGUUGCAAAGUUUCAAACAUCAAAAUUAAGGAUUUGACCAUAAAUGAUGGCGUUUUGGGCGGGAUAUUUUACAGAAUUUUCUUUAUUCAUGAGUAAUUAUACCAAAUAUUUUACUAAUUUAUCCAUUCAAAACUGUAAGAUUGCCUUGUUGCCUUUUUAAUAAUUUUUUUCCGG